rnacentral:rRNA from 1 species
GAUGAACGCUGGCGGCGUGCCUAAUACAUGCAAGUCGAGCGAACAGACGAGGAGCUUGCUCCUCUGACGUUAGCGGCGGACGGGUGAGUAACACGUGGAUAACCUACCUAUAAGACUGGGAUAACUUCGGGAAACCGGAGCUAAUACCGGAUAAUAUAUUGAACCGCAUGGUUCAAUAGUGAAAGACGGUUUUGCUGUCACUUAUAGAUGGAUCCGCGCCGCAUUAGCUAGUUGGUAAGGUAGCGGCUUACCAAGGCAACGAUGCGUAGCCGACCUGAGAGGGUGAUCGGCCACACUGGAACUGAGACACGGUCCAGACUCCUACGGGAGGCAGCAGUAGGGAAUCUUCCGCAAUGGGCGAAAGCCUGACGGAGCAACGCCGCGCGAGUGAUGAAGGUCUUCGGAUCGUAAAACUCUGUUAUUAGGGAAGAACAAAUGUGUAAGUAACUAUGCACGUCUUGACGGUACCUAAUCAGAAAGCCACGGCUAACUACGUG